rnacentral:rRNA from 1 species
AGAGUUUGAUCCUGGCUCAGAUUGAACGCUGGCGGCAUGCCUAACACAUGCAAGUCGAACGGUAACGCGAAGAGCUUGCUCUUUGGCGACGAGUGGCGGACGGGUGAGUAAUACUUAGGAAUCUACCCAGUAGCGGGGGACAACUCGGGGAAACUCGAGCUAAUACCGCAUACGCCCUAAGGGGGAAAGCGGGGGAUCUUCGGACCUCGCGCUAUUGGAUGAGCCUAAGUCGGAUUAGCUAGUUGGUGGGGUAAAGGCCUACCAAGGCGACGAUCCGUAGCUGGUCUGAGAGGACGAUCAGCCACACUGGGACUGAGACACGGCCCAGACUCCUACGGGAGGCAGCAGUGGGGAAUAUUGGACAAUGGGGGAAACCCUGAUCCAGCAAUGCCGCGUGUGUGAAGAAGGCCUGCGGGUUGUAAAGCACUUUCAGUAGAGAAGAAAUGCCUGGAGCUAACAUCUCCGGGUCUUGACGUAACCUACAGAAGAGACCCC